rnacentral:rRNA from 1 species
CGCUGGCGGCGUGCCUAACACAUGCAAGUCGAACGGAGAGAUUUUUCAAAGCUUCGGUAGAGAGAAAUCUUUUAGUGGCGGACGGGUGAGUAACGCGUGAGCAACCUGUCCUUAAGAGGGGGAUAACAACGUGAAAACGUUGCUAAUACCACAUAAGACCACGGAGUCGCAUGGCUCAGUGGUAAAAGGAGAAAUCCGCUUAAGGGUGGGCUCGCGUCCCAUUAGUUAGUUGGUAGGGUAACGGCCUACCAAGACCGCGAUGGGUAGCCGGACUGAGAGGUUGAACGGCCACAUUGGGACUGAGACACGGCCCAAACUCCUACGGGAGGCAGCAGUGGGGAAUAUUGGGCAACGGGGGAAACCCUGACCCAGCAACGCCGCGUGAGGGAAGAAGGCUUUCGGGUUGUAAACCUCUGUCCCAUGGGAAGAAAUAAAUGACGGUACCAUGGGAGGAAGCCCCGGCUAACUACGUGCCAGCAGCCGCGGUAAGGCGUAGGGGGCAA